CGAAGCGUGCGAUUGGAUUGCACGUCUAAGCAGUAAGGCUGAGUAUUAGGCAAAUCCGGUACUCGUUAAGGCUGAGCUGUGAUGGGGAGAAGACAUUGUGUCUUCGAGUCGUUGAUUUCACACUGCCGAGAAAAGCCUCUAGAUAGAAAAUAGGUGCCCGUACCGCAAACCGACACAGGUAGUCAAGAUGAGAAUUCUAAGGUGAGCGAGCGAACUCUCGUUAAGGAACUCGGCAAAAUGACCCCGUAACUUCGGGAGAAGGGGUGCUCUUUAGGGUUAACGCCCAGAAGAGCCGCAGUGAAUAGGCCCAAGCGACUGUUUAUCAAAAACACAGGUCUCUGCUAAACCGUAAGGUGAUGUAUAGGGGCUGACGCCUGCCCGGUGCUGGAAGGUUAAGAGGAGUGGUUAGCUUCUGCGAAGCUACGAAUCGAAGCCCCAGUAAACGGCGGCCGUAACUAUAACGGUCCUAAGGUAGCGAAAUUCCUUGUCGGGUAAGUUCCGACCCGCACGAAAGGCGUAACGAUUUGGGCACUGUCUCAACGAGAGACUCGGUGAAAUCAUAGUACCUGUGAAGAUGCAGGUUACCCG
rnacentral:rRNA from 1 species